UACGUAGGGGGCUAGCGUUGUCCGGAAUCAUUGGGCGUAAAGAGCGUGUAGGCGGUCCGGUAAGUCCGCUGUGAAAGUCGGGGGCUCAACCCUCGAAUGCCGGUGGAUACUGUCGGGCUAGAGUGCGGAAGAGGCGAGUGGAAUUCCGGGUGUAGCGGUGAAAUGCGUAGAUAUCCGGAGGAACACCGGGUGGCGAAGGCGGCUUCCUGGACCGACACUGACG
rnacentral:rRNA from 1 species